rnacentral:pre_miRNA from 1 species
AUCCCCCACCGGAUCUGGCGAGGGCUCGCCUCGCGGUCAACGGGCUAGGCGAGCCCUUGCCAGAUCCGGCGAGGGGG